ACUUCUGAUAGCUCAGCUGGUAGAGCAUGAGCCUUUUAAUCUCAGUGCCAGGAGUUCAAGCCCCACUUUGGGCA